rnacentral:rRNA from 1 species
ACUCCUACGGGAGGCAGCAGUAGGGAAUCUUCCACAAUGGGCGCAAGCCUGAUGGAGCAACACCGCGUGAGUGAAGAAGGGUUUCGGCUCGUAAAGCUCUGUUGUUAAAGAAGAACACGUAUGAGAGUAACUGUUCAUACGUUGACGGUAUUUAACCAGAAAGUCACGGCUAACUACGUGCCAGCAGCCGCGGUAAUACGUAGGUGGCAAGCGUUAUCCGGAUUUAUUGGGCGUAAAGAGAGUGCAGGCGGUUCUCUAAGUCUGAUGUGAAAGCCUUCGGCUUAACCGGAGAAGUGCAUCGGAAACUGGAUAACUUGAGUGCAGAAGAGGGUAGUGGAACUCCAUGUGUAGCGGUGGAAUGCGUAGAUAUAUGGAAGAACACCAGUGGCGAAGGCGGCUACCUGGUCUGCAACUGACGCUGAGACUCGAAAGCAUGGGUAGCGAACAGGAUUAGAUACCCUGGUAGGAUAGCG